CUGCAAUUUACUGAGCACUUCUGAAUAGGGGACCCUCUGGAAACAACUAAGCGUCUGCUAUCCUUUAGCUUUACAGAAAAAUAACCAUGCAGCUGAAAGUGAUCCUUGUGGGCUUGGCCAUCUUUGGUCUUAUUGUGGCAGAGAGCUGUGCCAUGCCUGCCAGCAGCUCCAAUGAAGCCGAGGCCAGGGCUGAUCCCGAGACUGCAGAGCGUGCCGAGCAGAGCAACGCCGAGGAGGCACGUGUCGGCACGAAAUGCAUAGAAACCCUGUGCGGGUAGUAGCCCCAUGCAAGAGAGCGACACGUUCGAGGUGUCUCGUAACAGUCGCAUGAAUACUUGAAAAGUACUGGCACUGCCCAGCGCUCCACAUGUAAUCUUAGUGGAGAAUAUUGAGGUUAGGGCAUUGCUGUUGCGCUGCUCUUGUAUUUAAUAAAGUUAUAUAAC